AAAGGCACCACCCCUGCUGGCUUAUCUGUUGGGCCAGAUAUGCCACACUAACUGAGAGGAAAGAGGAAAAAAAAAACAAAACUGAGAAAUGGGGGAUAAAAGCCAUCACUAAAUUAAGGACUCUGGAGAAAAAGUUCCCAAAGAAACCUCUGAUGGAGAAUUCUCUGCGGGGAACAACCUCUUCGGAAGAAGCUCCCCGCCUUCCGGGGCCAACUUGCUGCAAAGCUUCCUUGCUUUCUGCCAUCCCCCGCGGUGACUGGACAAGUGCCUGAGAUCAACGGACCUACUGCAAACCUCGCUGGACCCACGCGAGACGCUCCUGAGUCACUGCUAAGCUGAGAAAAAGUUUCAGCCAGAUUCUACCCCUGCUUGCAAAAUGAGAGGAAAACAAAGAGAAAAAUUACAGGAAAUGGAAGGAAAACCUGUUGGACAUGGGAAAAGCAAAGCUGUACAUAGUACGGAAUAAACAGAAUGGAAAGCUGCAGCAUCAUGAAAGUGAUUUCCUCCGCUGCAAUCCGAGGCUUUCUGCAAGGAGACAACUUGACAAAGCCCACCCCAGUAGCCAGGUAUUCUGGGCCAGCCUCCCUGCCAGCCAGUUCUGUGCCACCUGAAGUGGUGAGGACACCAGAAAGCACCAUCCGCCAAGCACAAUGAAGACCUCAAGUGAAGUUGGACCCAGGACACUCGGAGCUGGAUUCCAGUCUCCAUGGAGCUGCCCGUUUGGAAAGCACAAUGGGAUUAGAACUGAGACCACUGUUGUAUCAACAGUCAUCUCCUUGAACUAACCAAAUGAGGUGCAGCUGGCAGCUCUUCUCCUCUGCAGCCAGCUCUGCUGCAUCUCCCUUAGGAGCUCUCUUGGACCCAGCCUCUCUACAGUAUGUUUGACUCCAGCACAAUGAUGCCACUGAAGUUUUACAGUGUUAUUGGAAAAAAAUCCAUUGUUUGCUACUAGCUUUUAUUUAGCUGGAAAACAGAUUUAGGAAGCAGACAUAUUUGUCUGGCUCAACAUGCUAUGUAAGUGUGCAGGCAAGAGGGUGAAAACUCGUUAGUAUGAAACAUAAUGUGCAUCAUUUAAAGUCCUGUGGGAUAAAUCUCUCUAUUUCUUGCCAUAAGAGUAUAGGUGGUCUAAGUUAGAAUAUCUAUAAAAAUGUUUAUUUUCUUUUUUUAGCUGGCUGUUUUUUUACUGUGACCAAG
rnacentral:lncRNA from 7 species